CCGGUGGUAAGUAGACCGGUGACUUCGCGCACUGGAGAGAGGGAGCUGGUAGUGGACGGGACAAUAACGUUGAAGAGUAGCUGCACCCCUAAAAAAUACAAAGUGAUCACGUUAUAGAAGCUUUUGAUUCAGACCCAGCCUCUCUGCCUUAACCAGAGGGAAAAAUUGAUGAAUUCAGAGUGCAGAAUGUCCACCAUGAGGAGAAUGGGGAGGGCUCCAAAGUGAGAGUCCAGUUGACAACAAAUGGAAUAGUGGGUGUCCUCGGCAGCCGUAUCAGGAGAUAUCAGGUGAUGACGGUUGGGUUAGUAAAUUCACUUUUCAAUUCAGGAAAUUCCCUUCAUGAAUUAAAAAAACUACAAAUAAAACAAUGCUUUACCGCAGUUCAUUCUUGGAAUUUCAAAAAGAUUCAUGAAUUUACUGAAUUGAAAAGCAAAUUGACCCCCAACCCUGCAGGCAAGAUCCUGGCCUAAGAAGAACUUCCUAGAGUGAUGGAGCAGCCCUAUCAGAAGACCUGGUUGACCGCUACUACAUCCUCUCUAAAGUUGUCCUCACUGGCCCCAUGUCAGUGUAGGUCCAUGGCCCUAGACUUCUUGACUUUUUUGGGGGCCAGGACUCGGAGGUGGAAACAAAACAUUGGUGACACUGGUGCAAAGCUUGCCAGUGGAAAUGCACCAUCAGUGUGACUGGCUGGCUUUGAAUCCAGGUUCCCUGAGCAUCACAACUUUGUUAGCCAGGUGAGCUAAAGCCUUGGCAAUAACAGCAGGAAUAAGCUACAAUUUAAUGAAGGCCAUUUGGGUCCUGUAGGCCAAAUGCUAUACUUGAGAUGAUAACCUGCUGUCUCAUAAUGCAUGUUGAUCUGUCUGGGUUUUACUCACCUUGAUUUGUAGGAUGACUGGAUUGUUAGGUUUUACGAUCUUUAGUGUUCCGUGGCUUUUUAUUGUGGACAAAAGAUGCAACCCACCAGGCGGAAUAGGGCAAAACUGGUUGAAAUUGUCAAAAUUAUGUAAUUUCAAACAAUUUGUUAUUUUAGCCUAUAUGUUAUUUCAACCAGUUUUGCCUGCUGGUAAUGUGCUCAAAUGUAAUAGCUAAUUCCCAGGGGACUGUGCUUCUAGGACUAAAUACACACCACUCACAACAUUUAGAUAAGGAAUGUGGUACACCAAAACAUCCCUACAGUGUGCCCUGUGAGGAGAGAUUUGUUACAUUUAUUUUCUUAUGCUACUGGAAAUGUACAUCUUAAAAAUGUGUUGGAUACAAUACUUACAGAAUAACCAAUUUAAUAGUAACACAAAUUAAAUUAAAACGCGUUAAAAUGCAUUCUAUUUCGUAUUUGCUUAUACAAAUGCUGAGUUUGGAGUGCAUUUUUGUUACUAAAUAUAUUUCAAAUGUAUUGGAAAGAGGUGAUCAAGUAAUUUCAGAAGUCAUGGAACAUGUUAGAAUUAUAAACAGAAUGUAUCAUGUGUGAAACUUUCCAUGUGCAAGGUGCCGAUGUUUUCAAAUUCUAGUUUGGU